UAGGAAGGUAUGUGAGAGCCUGAUGGCAGCUCUGUCUGAGAAUGUGCUGAGAGUCAACCUGUUACUGAGUGUUGUCUUUCUUACAGACAAUUUCUUCAUAUGAGUCCCACCAUUGAGAUUUUAUGGAGGCAAGUCCUCCACUUGCUCGCGGAGGAAUAAAAGGAAGGAGAAAGUCGGGGCAGAUCUUCCAGGACGACAACACGUCAGACCAAUUUAAAAAGGUCAUCCCCAUCACAGAUUGAGGCUGAAGAUCUUGUGUGGAUGAGCUUGAUAACUUUUUCAACUCGUAGAGACUCUCUGGAUUGUCAGCUGUCUGUGUUGAAACGUUUUCUGCCUGGAUCUGUGCGUACACCGUC